UGCGACUGAUGGGUGGAGAAAGGUGAGCGGAGUGACGAGCGUUACCGGAGCGACGAGGGAAUAUUCCCGAGACAAAUUAUACAGAUUAGAUUCAACCUCCGGAGAUCCAGGAUGAUCUCCCCAACACCGGAACCUUCACCUGAAGGAAUCAAUCACAACCAACCUAAGAUCCUAAAAGGUGAAACGUCCACGCGUCCUUUUUCUUUUUUUUUUAAGAUGCAGCUAAGCGCGAGCACGCACGGAGGAGCUGCGCGCACUGCGGGCUGGAGAUGUGCCACUCUGCGCGUCUAUGGCGCCGAACUGCGUUCACGGCAGCGAGGAGAGAAAGGCGACGUGACAAAUGCCCGUCAUCACCCACGGCGCGUGGAAGCCGGGGGAGGGGGGCUCUGAAAGCCCACGGAUGCAGUUCGUUCACGGAAGGCCUUUCCUUGUAUGUUCACAUCACCUGGACCCCCUGGAAAAAAUGGAUGCAGUGAGGCCGGAAGCAGCUCACAUCUGCUGCAGCUGCUCACUUUUUGGACCAAACGGAUGAAAGAAAUAAAACCAAACUCAACUGAAUCACGAAUCUAGUUAUGCGCCGGGAGGUGAAAGUACAGCACAAUAAAAGUGGAUCACUGGUGUUGGUAAAAGUGCAGCAGACCCUUAACCUCACCCCAAUCUCUGAUAACUCACACAUUCAAGCCUUAAAUGAUCCUUUAACAAGUUCACACGCUUACAACUUUAGUUAGAAAUUUUACUCUGAAACACCAACAUUUAAAAUAAAAUCACAAUUUAAUGAUUUAUUUCUUUUAUUGAGCACCACGGCACAUAUUUCCAGCUCAAGCGCGCCAUCUAGCUGCACACUUUGGUACACACGUUGUAGGCAUAGAAACAAUAAAGGAUGGAUAUUGUUUUAAUCUUGUGAGAAAAUCAUUAAAAUAAGUGUAAAUGCCAAUAAAAAGAAACAAUAUUUUUACUCUAAAAUAUAUUUAAAUAAUAUAAAUUGUUAACGAUUGGAAAUGCCUAAGAUUAUGUAAUCAAAACAUUUUUCCAAUAAAAAUUCCUUAUAAAAAGAAAAUAAUUGAAAUGUUAACAUAAAAAAAUUAGACCAAGCUACAACUUGAGAAUAUAAAAAAAGAACAAACAUCAUUUAUUUUAAAAAUUAUUUUAUUUAUUAAUAUAGUGGUAUACUUAAGAUUGUGUUGGAGAGGAGAAAAUAAAGUCAGCCACACGUGAAGAGCUAAUUUCCAUUUAAAGCUGUGUUAUAUCUAAAAAGUACUGGUGUGCCAUAUGUAAUAUAUUGUCUAUUAGUACAAAAAUACAUUUAAAGGGCACACCAUAUAGCAUCCAUUAUCCCAAACCGUGAGGAGGACACUUUCAGAGCGCACCCUUUCAAAAGAACACGUAAUGCAUUUUAGUUUGAGCACUUUUCCUGAUGUUCAAAUCAAUCACAAAAACAGUACUUUUCAGCAACCAUAACAUCAUGUCAGAAAGUGGUAAAAAAAAAAAAAA